GGUUAAGCGAAUAAGCGUACACGGUGGAUGCCUAGGCAAUCAGAGGCGAUGAAGGACGUGCUAAUCUGCGAAAAGCGUCGGUAAGGUGAUAUGAACCGUUAUACCCGACGAUAUCCGAAUGGGGAAACCCAGUAUCCAAUGGAUACUAUCAUUAACUGAAUCCAUAGGUUAAUGAGGCGAACCGGGAGAACUGAAACAUCUCAGUACCCCGAGGAAAAGAAAUCAACCGAGAUUCCCCUAGUAGCGGCGAGCGAACGGGGAGCAGCCCAGAGUCUUAAUCAAUAGCAGUGUCAGGAGAACGGUCUGGAAAGUCCGGCAGUAAAGGGUGAUAGCCCCGUAUCUGAAGAUGCUGUUAUUGUGAACUCGACGAGUAGGGCGGGACACGUGUUAUCCUGUCUGAAUAUGGGGGGACCAUCCUCCAAGGCUAAAUACUCCUGAUUGACCGAUAGUGAACCAGUACCGUGAGGGAAAGGCGAAAAGAACCCCGGCGAGGGGAGUGAAAAAGAACCUGAAACCGUGUACGUACAAGCAGUAGGAGCCUCUUUAUGGGGUGACUGCGUACCUUUUGUAUAAUGGGUCAGCGACUUAUAUUCUGUAGCAAGGUUAACCGCAUAGGGGAGCCGUAGGGAAACCGAGUCUUAACUGGGCGAAUGAGUUGCAGGGUAUAGACCCGAAACCCGGUGAUCUAUCCAUGGGCAGGUUGAAGGUUGGGUAACACUAACUGGAGGACCGAACCGACUAAUGUUGAAAAAUUAGCGGAUGACUUGUGGAUGGGGGUGAAAGGCCAAUCAAACCGGGAGAUAGCUGGUUCUCCCCGAAAGCUAUUUAGGUAGCGCCUCGUGAACUCAUCUUCGGGGGUAGAGCACUGUUUCGACUAGGGGGUCAUCCCGACUUACCAACUCGAUGCAAACUGCGAAUACCGAAGAAUGUUAUCACGGGAGACACACGGCGGGUGCUAACGUCCGUCGUGAAGAGGGAAACAACCCAGACCGCCAGCUAAGGUCCCAAAGUCAUGGUUAAGUGGGAAACGAAGUGGGAAGGCUCAGACAGCCAGGAUGUUGGCUUAGAAGCAGCCAUCAUUUAAAGAAAGCGUAAUAGCUCACUGGUCGAGUCGGCCCGCGCGGAAGAUGUAACGGGGCUAAACCAUGCACCGAAGCUGCGGCAGCGACACAAAGUGUUGUUGGGUAGGGGAGCGUUCUGUAAGCCUGCGAAGGUGUACUGUGAGGUAUGCUGGAGGUAUCAGAAGUGCGAAUGCUGACAUAAGUAACGAUAAUGCGGGUGAAAAACCCGCACGCCGGAAGACCAAGGGUUCCUGUCCAACGUUAAUCGGGGCAGGGUGAGUCGACCCCUAAGGCGAGGCUGAAAAGCGUAGUCGAUGGGAAACGGGUUAAUAUUCCCGUACUGGUGGUAACUGCGAUGGGGGAACGGAGAAGGCUAGGUUGUCCGGGCGACGGUCGUCCCGGUUCAAGCAGGUAGGCAGAGUGAUUAGGCAAAUCCGGUCACUUAAUGCUGAGAUGUGAUGACGAACCACCAAGGUGGUGAAGCAAUUGAUGCCCCGCUUCCAGGAAAAGCCUCUAAGCUUCAGGUUACCAACAAUCGUACCCCAAACCGACACAGGUGGUCAGGUAGAGAAUACUCAGGCGCUUGAGAGAACUCGGGUGAAGGAACUAGGCAAAAUGGUGCCGUAACUUCGGGAGAAGGCACGCUGGCGGUAGGUAAAGUCCCUCGCGGACGGCGCUGAAGCCAGUCGAAGAUACCAGCUGGCUGCAACUGUUUAUUAAAAACACAGCACUGUGCAAACACGAAAGUGGACGUAUACGGUGUGACGCCUGCCCGGUGCUGGAAGGUUAAUUGAUGGGGUUAGCGCAAGCGAAGCUCCUGAUCGAAGCCCCAGUAAACGGCGGCCGUAACUAUAACGGUCCUAAGGUAGCGAAAUUCCUUGUCGGGUAAGUUCCGACCUGCACGAAUGGCGUAAUGAUGGCCAGGCUGUCUCCACCCGAGACUCAGUGAAAUUGAACUCGCUGUGAAGAUGCAGUGUACCCGCGGCAAGACGGAAAGACCCCGUGAACCUUUACUAUAGCUUGACACUGAACAUUGAGCCUUGAUGUGUAGGAUAGGUGGGAGGCUUUGAAGUGUGGACGCCAGUCUGCAUGGAGCCAACCUUGAAAUACCACCCUUUAACGUUUGAUGUUCUAACCUAGGCCCAUAAACUGGGUCGGGGACCGUGUCUGGUGGGUAGUUUGACUGGGGCGGUCUCCUCCUAAAGAGUAACGGAGGAGCACGAAGGUUGGCUAAGCAUGGUCGGACAUCAUGCGGUUAGUGCAAAGGCAUAAGCCAGCUUGACUGCGAGAGUGACGGCUCGAGCAGGUACGAAAGUAGGUCUUAGUGAUCCGGUGGUUCUGAAUGGAAGGGCCAUCGCUCAACGGAUAAAAGGUACUCCGGGGAUAACAGGCUGAUACCGCCCAAGAGUUCAUAUCGACGGCGGUGUUUGGCACCUCGAUGUCGGCUCAUCACAUCCUGGGGCUGAAGUAGGUCCCAAGGGUAUGGCUGUUCGCCAUUUAAAGUGGUACGCGAGCUGGGUUUAGAACGUCGUGAGACAGUUCGGUCCCUAUCUGCCGUGGGCGUUGGAAGAUUGAGAGGGGUUGCUCCUAGUACGAGAGGACCGGAGUGAACGCACCACUGGUGUUCGGGUUGUCAUGCCAAUGGCAUUGCCCGGUAGCUAAGUGCGGAAGAGAUAACCGCUGAAAGCAUCUAAGCGGGAAACUUGCCUCGAGAUGAGUCUUCCCUGUCGCUUUAAGCGACCUAAAGGAACGUUUAAGACUAAGACGUUGAUAGGCUGGGUGUGUAAGCGUAGCGAUACGUUGAGCUAACCAGUACUAAUGAACCGUGAGGCUUAACCUG
rnacentral:rRNA from 1 species